GUGGGGAAUAUUGGACAAUGGGCGAAAGCCUGAUCCAGCCAUGCCGCGUGUGUGAAGAAGGUCUUCGGAUUGUAAAGCACUUUAAGUUGGGAGGAAGGGCAGUAAGCUAAUACCUUGCUGUUUUGACGUUACCGACAGAAUAAGCACCGGCUAACUUCGUGCCAGCAGCCGCGGUAAUACGAAGGGUGCAAGCGUUAAUCGGAAUUACUGGGCGUAAAGCGCGCGUAGGUGGUUCAGCAAGUUGGAGGUGAAAUCCCCGGGCUCAACCUGGGAACUGCCUCCAAAACUGAAUGACUAGAGUACGGUAGAGGGUAGUAGAAUUUCCUGUGUAGCGGUGAAAUGCGUAGAUAUAGGAAGGAACACCAGUGGCGAAGGCGACUACCUGGACUGAUACUGACACUGAGGUGCGAAAGCGUGGGGAGCAAACAGGAUUAGAAACCCUGGUAGUCC
rnacentral:rRNA from 1 species